GGGGAUUUAGCUCAGUGGCAUAAGCACCUGCCUUGCAAGCAGGUGGUCGUGAGUUCAAUCACUG
rnacentral:tRNA from 1 species